rnacentral:lncRNA from 1 species
GUUUUACCACUUGAGCAGUGAAACAAGUACAUCUAUCAUGGGAGAUUUCUCAAGGGACGUCCCAUGAGAAAAACAAUUUUCUAAUAAUCUUUUAGCUACUGCUAUAACAUCAGUGCUCUUGCCUGGGAAAGCUUCUAUAUAACCAGAAAACACGCAUUGAAAAUGACAAUUGAAGGAAAUCCCUCCAGCAAUGUUUCAAUGGCCCAUCAAGUAGCAGAAGUGUAAUGGAAGUUUCGAUUGUCCUCCCAGGAUUAUGGGUUUGGCAGACCAAACAUUGGUCGUAAACCAUUUUAACAACUUACAACGGUCACCAUGUCAAAUAUAUAUAUGUAUAUUAUAUAUACAUAUAUAUAUAAAAUUUGGAUUAAUUUGUCUCUUCCAUGAUGAAUCAUGGAGUGCAGAGCAUUUAAUAGUGGAAGCUUCAAGGACACAGGAAGGACCAGGUGGCCAUCUUGGCUGUCCAUGUGUCCAUGCUUGAUGCUGGACUUAUAUCUUCUUAAAUACCAAUUUUGUUUCUCCAGUUCAGGUGCAUAGCACUGUUUAUUAGAAGGGUUAUCAUAGGUAAUUUGACUUGGACGAUGGAUUUAAUUCAAAUUGGGUAUCUAAACAAUAUCAGUACUGGCUGAUUUAGCAUGAAAAGCUGGCAAAGUGUUUUCUUGGUAUUCAAUUAAUUUUUGUCCUGCCCAGGUUAGCAAUUUUAUAAACCAGUCAAUCUUUCCAUUAGAGUUCCGGGAAUUUUUACCCAGUCCAAAUGACAUUACACUAAAGUUAUCAGAAGCCUAUUCAAGAGGGCUUAUCAGGGUCCUUUCUCUCCUUUCACGAACCUCCUGGAGGACUCAAUAUUGUAGGACUGUGUGUGUUUGUGAGUUUUCAGAAACGUCAGAAAAAAGCAAUUAACUCUGGAAAUGACGUAAAAUGGUCAUGGUUAAAGAAGAACUGACAAGGAAUUUUGAUUACUUCUGUGGCCUACAAUAACUUAACUGUAAUUAAGAGUGACAGCAUAUACCCGGAUGUAUCAGAAUUUUAGGAACCCCAUACAAUUUUGGAGCAUAUAUUAAUGACGUAUUCACAAACAAUAUCUCAAAUAAGGUUAAACAUCAUUUCUUAUUUGGCAGUGCUUCCCAUGUAAUUUAAUUUAUCAAAUACUUCUGUCUCUCUCUUUUUUGGAUACUAUAGGGGCCCUUAGUAGCUCUCUCCACUGGGAAAGGCUGUUAUCGUCUUUGUUUUAAACUAUAAACUAAGUUUCUCCCAAAGUUAGUUCAGCCUACUCCCAGGAAUAAGCAAGGACAGGAAUAAGCAAGGAGGUUAGAAGCAAGAUGGAAGGGCCAGGCACGGUGGCUUACGCCUGUAACCCCAUCACUUUGGGAGGCCGAGGUGAGCAGAUCACAAGGUCAGGAGUUCCAGACCAGCCUGGCCAAUAUGGUGAAACCUCAUCUCUACUAAAAAAAAUACAAAAUUAGUCGGGCGUUGUGGCAGAUGCCUGUAAUCCCAGUUACUUGGGAGGCUGAGGCAGGAGAAUCGCUUGAACCCAGGAGGCAGAGGUUGUGGUGAGCCAAGUUUACGCCAUUGCACUCCAGCCUGGGCGACAAGAGCAAAACACCACCUCUAAAAAAAAAAAAAGGCAAGAUGGAGUCAAUUAAGUUAGAUGUCUCUCACCGUCUCAGUCAAAGAGACAAUGCAAAGGUGGUUUCAGCUUUUUCCUAAAUAUUAUCAGAUACAUGUCAUACAGAGAGACAUAUAGUCAUAACAGACACAGAUAGAAACAGAUCUUACAGAUUUCAGAAAGAAUUUUCAUUUGCCAGCUUUCAAAUAGUUUUCUUUUCCCCCUUUAGACUAUCAAUCUUCUAAUUACUUGUUUUAUCAUCCUAAGCAAUCGUUAGCUAGGGAACAAUUUGCCUUCAAAAAAGAUAACUCUUAGGUGAAACAAGGCAGAAAAUGUAUAUAUGAAAAGCUAUUUAAGCUGAGACUUUCAGCUUAAAUACUGUACCAUCAUCAUUUGCUCAACCAAGAAAAAAGCAAGGCCCAGUGAAGACAACAUGGCCAGGAAAAACACGUUAAACAAAGGGUGUUGCUCUGUCACCCAGGCUGGAGUGCAGUGGUGCCAUCAUAGCUCACUGCAAUUGUUACAGGAGAGGGGUCCUGAUCCAGACCCCAAGAGAGGGUUCUUGGAUUUGGAUCCUGUGCAAGAAAGAAUUCAGGUGACUUAGAAUGCCUGACCAUGUGGGAAUGCAGCCCAGUAGGACUCAGUCUCAUUUUACCCAGCCCCUGUUCAAGAUGGAGUCGCUCUGGUUCACACGCCUCAGACACAGCCUCUGCCUCCCGCCUCAGCCUCCUAAGCAGCUGGGACUACAGUGCAUACCUGAUUUUCUCGACCUCUUUUAUGAAAUAUCCCCGCCAGACUCCCUCGACCGUGCCACCCCCAGGUUCCCGUGCAUACACAACAUUGCGGGAUAGGUAUUGUGGAAUGAGGAUCCGUGUUACGACCUACAGAAGAUGUGGCUGUGAAGUCAGGAGUCACGGUCUCAGAGUUGACUGCACUGCCUCGUAGCUGUGUGACCUUCAGGAUUUUGUUCAACCCCCUCUGAGCUUCAGUUUGCUCUCUGGGAAGACUCCAAGGAUAAGAGCAUCUACCUCCUCAGCCUGCUGUGAGAGUUAACAGGGCCAGGGCCAAAGACGCUUUGUCUGACUGCUGGUCUGCGGGGAGCUCUAAAUAUGAAUCUGCUACAUCACCUUCACUUUUGAAUUCGGCUCUGAUGUUCCAAAUGUUCUUGGCCGUUCCUUCGUGUUUCUCCUGUACGAAUUUCAGCUUCUUUUUGCCAAGUAUCUCCCCACCCCCGCCCACCCCCACCCCCAAAUAAACUCACUAGAAUGUUGGCUGAAAAUCUGAUAAGGCUACACAUUGAUUUGGAAAGAAAUGAUUUUUUGUGAGAGUCAAACUCCCUACCCAUUUUUUUUCUUUUGUUUUUUCAAAAGUUUUUUUCUUACAUUUGUCAUUCAAGUUUGUCAUUUUCUUGCUACAGAUUCCAAACACUUUUCAAGAGGACCGUCGCUAAGUACUUUAUACUCUUGUUUGGGUUUUUUUAGAGUAAAAAAUGUUCAAAUUCUACUUUAUCUUCUAGCUGGUGGUUGUUGGAAGAUAAUUUUAAAAACUGAUUUAAAAUAUGUAUUUUGCAUCUGGCCGCGUUCCUGAAUUCUCUCAUUCUUUCUGAAAACUCUUCCGCCGACUCUCUGGGGGCUCCUAGGAAUGUGCUGUUUUGGCUCCUCCUUUCCAGAACUUAUACGUCUCAUUUCCGCCUCACAUCAUUGGCAUUGUCCUUCAUUUCCAGACCAGGGUCGAACAGUAAUGGUAAAAGCAGGCAUCCUUCUUUGGUUCCUGUCUUGGGCUGGAACGCCUUAGUGUUCCCCCAGCAAGGGGAGAUAAAGGAAGUGCUUAUUUAUAGUUUUCUAUAGUUUCUUGAGCCUUCGUGUUGUUUUGCUUUCAGAAACAAGAAUUGACUUUUAGCAAAUGCCCUUCCCCCUAUAGUUAACAAUUAGGAACUAUUCAAACUAUGCCAGUAGGCAUAAAUAAAGUUAGGAAGAGCCCCCAUCUACCCAGCCCCCACUUAGCUUAAGAAAGACAACAUGGCUGGGCAUGGUAGCUCACGCCUGUAAUCCCAGCACUUUGGGAGGCUCGAGUCCAGGAGUUUGAGACUAGCCUGGGCAACACAGUGAGUCUCUACAAAAAAUACAAAAGUUGGGCCUGGGUACGGCGGCUCACACCUGUAAUCCCAGCACUUUGCGAGGCUCGAGUCCAGGAGUUUGAGACUAGCCUGGGCAACACAGUGAGUCUCUACAAAAAAUACAGAAGUUGGGGCCGGGCGCGGUGGCUCAUGCCUGUAAUCCCAGCACUUUGGGAGGCUGAGGUGGGCGGAUCACGAGGUCAGGAGAUCGAGACCAUCCUAGCCAACACGGUGAAACCCCAUCUCUACUAAAAAUACAAAAAUUAGCCGGGCGUGGUGGCACGCGCCUGUAAUCCCAGCUACUCGGGAGACUGAGGCAGGAGAAUUGCUUGAACCCAGGAGUCGGAGGUUGCAGUGAGCCAAGAUCAUCACUGCACUCCAGCUCGGCGACAGAACAAGACUCCGUCUCAAAAACAAAAACAAAAACAAAAGUUAGCCAGGCAUGGCAGUGGGCACCUGUAGUUCCAGCUACUCAGGAGGCUGAGAUGGGAGGAUCACCUGAGCCUGGGAGGUUGAGGCUGCAGUCAGCCGUGGUGGUGUCAUUGCACUCCAGCCUGGGCAACACAGUGAGACCCUAUCUGAGAAAAAAAGAAGAAGAAGAAGAAGAAGAAAUACAACGUGAUGGCUUCAUCUGAGUUGAGGGCUCUGUGCAGCUCCUUUGUGGUGGAAUCCUCUGCUCUGCUGGCAGGGACGUUUCAUCAUAAGUGUGUGUUCUGUAUAUCCAGGUGCAAGUGAUAUUUUAAAAUAUAAAACUAUUGUUUAAAUUUCAUGUAAGUAGCAUGAUUUUUCCUUUUGCAACUCUUUCACCCCCACCCCAAUGUGGUUGCUGUGUCCGGGACUUCGCCAUUGGUGGCUCACAGCCGCAGGUCAGCUGUAAUCGUGCAGAACCCAUCUAUGAAUACACGACGGUGUACCUGUCCAUUCUCCUCUUGGUGAAUGUGUGGAGGUUUUCUGAUUCUUUGCAGUGACCAACAGCAAUCUGUGCCCAGCAAUGCAAAUGCCGGACUGAGGGAUGCACCCUGCACGCUGGCCAAG